rnacentral:rRNA from 1 species
GAUGAACGCUGGCGGCGUGCCUAAUACAUGCAAGUCGAGCGAAUGGAUUAAGAGCUUGCUCUUAUGAAGUUAGCGGCGGACGGGUGAGUGACACGUGGGUAACCUGCCCAUAAGACUGGGAUAACUACGGGAAACCGGGGCUAAUACCGGAUAACAUUUUGAGCCGCAUGGUUCGAAAUUGAAAGGCGGCUUCGGCUGUGACUUAUGGAUGGACCCGCGUCGCAUUAGCUAGUUGGUGAGGUAACGGCUCACCAAGGCAACGCUGCGUAGCCGACCUGAGAGGGUGAUCGGCCACACUGGGACUGAGACACGGCCCAGACUCCUACGGGAGGCAGCAGUAGGGAAUCUUCCGCAAUGGACGAAAGUCUGACGGAGCAACGCCGCGUGAGUGAUGAAGGCUUUCGGGUCGUAAAACUCUGUUGUUAGGGAAGAACAAGUGCUAGUUGAAUAAGCUGGCACCUUGACAGUACCUAACCAGAAAGCCACGGCUAACUACGUGCCAGCCGCCGCUGUAA